rnacentral:rRNA from 1 species
UACGGGGGGGGCAAGCGUUGUUCGGAAUUACUGGGCGUAAAGGGCUCGUAGGUGGCCAACUAAGUCAGACGUGAAAUCCCUCGGCUUAACCGGGGAACUGCGUCUGAUACUGGAUGGCUUGAGUUUGGGAGAGGGAUGCGGAAUUCCAGGUGUAGCGGUGAAAUGCGCAGAUAUCAGGAAGAACACCCGUGGCGAAGGCGGCUCUCUGGGACGGUACUGACGCUGAGACGCGAAAGCGUGGGGAGCGAACGGG